AUGGCUGAGAAAUUCAGAAGUAAGUCUGGGCAGAUUCUUCAGCUCAUUUCGGUUUUACAGAUUCCAGAAUUACCAUCUUCCUGGGUGGUCAUUGCUGUGGAGGUAGAGGGGGCAACUCUGCAUUUCACAAAGAGCAAAUCAAUAUAUAUAACUACAGCAGAGAACCUAGUCUUUGUCCAGACAGACAAACCCAUAUACAAACCAGGACAAACAGUUUCCGGUGGUUUAUGUUGAGGACCCCAGGAAGAACCAAAUUUUCCAAAGGCAAAGUCUCAAAUUGCAAGGGGGACUCAACCAACUCUCUUUCCCGCUAUCAGUGGAGCCCAUUCUGGGUUCCCACAAGAUCAUGCUGCAGAGAGAGUCAGGGAAGAAAAUACAGCACUCAUUUGAGAUGAAUGAAUAUAGUAAGAAUGCUCUAUGUGUAAGGCAUUUAUAACAUCAGAGUAUUUAAGAUUAGAUAAUUUUUACAUGUAGGUAAGAAUCAAAGGUCUAGCAUACAAUAGUUGAAAAUUAGCAAGCUUUUAAAUUUACCCAUAUAUUUGCUAAGUGCUUUUUAUGUACUAUCUCAUUUAAUUCUCACAAUGCCCCUCUGGGACAGAUACUAUUAUUAUUCCCAUUUUGCAAAUGAGCAUAUCAGUACUGGAAAAGUUAGUAACUUAAAAAAAUCACAGAGUCAUUAAGGGGUAGGAAAGAUUUGAAUUGAUACUCAAACAUAAAUUGUUAACCAAUACAUUGUGUCAGCUACAUACACUAUGUAUGUUUUUUAUAUUUUAUAACCGAAAGUAUUUCCGGGAAUUAUUUUAUGGUUGUCUAUAACCUACACCUAUACUACUCUAAUCAACUAUGAUUCCUAAACCAUAUAAUUUAGUAAUCAACUAAACUAUAGUUCAACUAAGUAUGGUAGUCAACUAAACUUUAACACAAUUGAUCUAGUUAGUACUCAACCAUAGUUGAUUACUAAGUCAGACAUUGAAGCCAUCUUAUUAGUUAUCAGUUAUGUGGAUUUUGUAAUGUAAAUUAAAUAUUUUAUGCCAUGGCUGAGAAGUCCUAUCACAAAACAUCGUUUCCAAAACUCGUCAGAACUGCCAUCAAAAUCACAGAAUAGGAUUAUAUUGUAGGAAUAACACCUUACAAAACUGUGAGAGAAGCUAGAAAAGUAAGAGGCCAUCAGGAGGAGUUGACAGGUGAGAGAAAAUUACUAGCCAGUUCUGAAGCAUGAUUAGGGGUGUAUAAAUGUGAGCUUGCAAAGGUCUGGGAAGCAAGGGACCCUCAGCUGCCCAAGUGCACCAACCAUGCAGAGGAGCUGACAGAAGAAUCUAUGGAAGAUUAUUACCUCUGCACUCUGCAUAGCUACCACUUUAGUAGGCUUAUAGCCAGGUGUCAGAUGAUGGGCCUCAGACCUCUGUUAGUCAGCAGGGCUGGCAUUUGGGAAGAAGAGCUGGGCCUAGGGAGGGAAAGAAUAAGAAUACAUUGAAACCUAUUGGUCCCUCUUUACCACAUCUAACUGUGAUGAUCUUCAGGGACUAAUCAUGCUGCCUUCCCUCUAUCUGGGAAAUCUGGCACAAAUUCAGAGAAAGAGAGUCUAGGGAAUGUAUUAUCAAGUUAACCAAGUGAACAUAGUACAAACUGCUCAUGGUAAUGAAUGGCUUCUCCUUCUCAGUAUUGUCCCUGGGCUCCCUGUUGUAGCUGAAGUCAUUUCAUGUGACCACAUGUUAAAGGUUCUGUCAUAGCAUCUACUACUAAUACUUGUAAGAUCUCUGGCCCACUCUCACCUUUUUUUUUCUUUUUAUCGAAACAGUUUUGCCUAAAUUUGAGGUCCAAGUAAAAAUGCCCAAGGUUAUUGGUUUUCUAGAUGAAAAAUUUGUGAU
rnacentral:lncRNA from 1 species